CCCUUAGAUGUCCUGGGCCGCACGCGCGCUACACUGACAUGUUCAACAAGCCUCCUAGUUCGACAGGAUUUGGGAAAUCUUUGAACGCAUGUCGUGAUAGGGAUAGAUCAUUGCAAUUAUUGAUCUUGAACGAGGAAUUCCUAGUAAACGCGAGUCAUCAGCUCGCAUUGAUUACGUCCCUGCCCUUUGUACACACCGCCCGUCGCACCUACCGAUUGAAUGUUUUGGUGAAGAUUCCGGAUAGGACUUUUUUGAUUUAUUUCAAUUUUGUCUUAAAAGCUAUCUAAACCUCAACAUUUAGAGGAAGGUGAAGUCGUAACA
rnacentral:rRNA from 1 species